rnacentral:rRNA from 1 species
GCAGCUACACAUGCAAGUCGAGCGGUAACAGGGGGUGCUUGCACCCCGCUGACGAGCGGCGGACGGGUGAGUAAUGCAUAGGAAUCUGCCCAGUAGUGGGGGAUAGCCCGGGGAAACCCGGAUUAAUACCGCAUACGCCCUUUGGGGGAAAGCAGGGGAUCUUCGGACCUUGCGCUAUUGGAUGAGCCUAUGUCGGAUUAGCUAGUUGGUGGGGUAAAGGCCUACCAAGGCGACGAUCCGUAGCUGGUCUGAGAGGAUGAUCAGCCACAUCGGGACUGAGACACGGCCCGAACUCCUACGGGAGGCAGCAGUGGGGAAUAUUGGACAAUGGGGGCAACCCUGAUCCAGCCAUGCCGCGUGUGUGAAGAAGGCUUUCGGGUUGUAAAGCACUUUCAGUGAGGAGGAAAACCUUCUGGUUAAUACCCAUGAGGCUUGACGUUACUCACAGAAGAAGCACCGGCUAACUCCGUGCCAGCAGCCGCGGUAAUACGGAGGGUGCAAGCGUUAAUCGGAAUUACUGGGCGUAAAGCGCGCGUAGGUGGUUUGAUAAGCGAGAUGUGAAAGCCCCGGGCUUAACCUGGGAACGGCAUUUCGAACUGU